ACACCGGUCAUGCCUUAGUACGGCGAGUGAGCGGCAAAAGCUCAAAUUUGAAAUCUGGCACCUUCGGUGUCCGAGUUGUAAUUUGAAGAAGGUAACUUUGGAGUUGGCUCUUGUCUAUGUUCCUUGGAACAGGACGUCACAGAGGGUGAGAAUCCCGUGCGAUGAGAUGCCCAAUUCUAUGUAAAGUGCUUUCGAAGAGUCGAGUUGUUUGGGAAUGCAGCUCUAAGUGGGUGGUAAAUUCCAUCUAAAGCUAAAUAUUGGCGAGAGACCGAUAGCGAACAAGUACAGUGAUGGAAAGAUGAAAAGAACUUUGAAAAGAGAGUGAAAAAGUACGUGAAAUUGUUGAAAGGGAAGGGCUUGAGAUCAGACUUGGUAUUUUGCGAUCCUUUCCUUCUUGGUUGGGUUCCUCGCAGCUUACUGGGCCAGCAUCGGUUUGGAUGGUAGGAUAAUGACUAAGGAAUGUGGCUCUACUUCGGUGGAGUGUUAUAGCCUUGGUUGAUACUGCCUGUCUAGACCGAGGACUGCGUCUUUUGACUAGGAUGUUGGCAUAAUGAUCUUAAGCCACCCGUCUUGAAAACAGGGACCAAAAAAUUAACGUUUGUUGAAGAACCCAUUUAAAAAA
rnacentral:rRNA from 1 species